AGUUGGAUUUCUGUUAAUAAUUUAUAUAUAAUAUUUGAUUAAUAUUUAUAUAAUAUUAACAUAAUUCAUAUUACUAAAUUAUUUAUUAGUAUAUGAAAUUUUACUUUGAGAAAAUUAGAGUGCUUAAAGCAGGCAUAUGCCUUGAAUACUCCAGCAUGGAAUAAUAUUAAAGAUUUUUAUCUUUCUUAUUGGUUCUAAGAUAAAAAUAAUGAUUAAUAGGGACAGUUGGGGGCAUUUGUAUUUAACAGUCAGAGGUGAAAUUCUUAGAUUUGUUAAAGACAAACUAAUGCGAAAGCAUUUGCCAAGGAUGUUUUCAUUAAUCAAGAACGAAAGUUAGGGGAUCGAAGACGAUCAGAUACCGUCGUAGUCUUAACCAUAAACUAUGCCAACUAGAGAUUGGAGGUUGUUCCUUACUCCUUC
rnacentral:rRNA from 1 species